CCUACGGGAGACAGCAGUGAGGAAUAUUGGUCAAUGGGCGGAAGCCUGAACCAGCCAAGUAGCGUGCGGGAUGAAGGCCCUACGGGUCGUAAACCGCUGUUGCACGGGGAUAACACCCGCCACUUGUGGAGGUCUGCAGGUACCGUGCGAAUAAGGGCCGGCUAAUUCCGUGCCAGCAGCCGCGGUAAUACGGACGGCCCGAGCGUUAUCCGGAUUCAUUGGGCUUAAAGGGAGCGUAGGCGGGCGUUCAAGUCAGCUGUAAAAUCGCGCGGCUCAACCGCGCCCCGCAGUUGAAACUGGACGCCUUGAGUUCACCACAGGCAGGCGGAAUUCGUGGUGUAGCGGUG
rnacentral:rRNA from 1 species